rnacentral:lncRNA from 1 species
GAAGAGCCUGACCCAUGGGCACUCAGCAACUAUUAUUGAGUCAACCAGCUGCAAAGGCUCAAGGGAAGGGGUUUGCAUUUGCCCUUCUCAUUCCUCUCAGAAACUCAAGCACCUGCUACCUCGUUGUAAAAGGGAAGAAAAAGACUGAGCUACGCAAGAUACGUAGGCAGAAGAUACUUAAAAAGGGGUUAUAACUCCCAUGCGUUCAUUUCUUAGACACUGGAACCACACAGGGACUAAAACAGGAGACCCAGGAGUGGCUACAGGAUGGGAAAGAAGCAGAUGGAAGAUGCAGGACUUCCUACAUCUUUGUGAUUCUACAAGAAAGUGUGUUUACAGGAGCUGGAUAAAUGUAGCAGGCUUUGGCCACAGGGGCACUUGGAUCUGUACCCCACAUGGCUAACAGAGCCAAAGCCCUGUCACAGCACUGUCGUGGUUGCAGCCAUGAGGCCAGAUCACAGCCAGCCCAAGGCAGUGUUGAGGAUGAGGAGAAGGUGGAAUCUGGCACCCCUUGGCGGGGCAGCUGCAGGUGGCCGUCGUAGUGAAUCAAACCCAGCAGGCACCACUCAACAAAACUACCUUCACCUCCCAGAUAGCCACAGCUCACUGGGCCACCGUCAUGCUUCAGCAUCACCUCAGCAAACAAGCCAGUUCUCACUCCAGUUUUUAACAUUUUAAGAAUGUGAAACUAGAGCAAAUUUCAAAUAACAAGGCAUAGUUGUGGUUUUCCUCACAGGGAUGUUUCUACUCCUCCUAUUGGCACCUGCUUUAAACAUUAAGUGGAACAUGUGAUCUCAAAACCACUGAACGACUUUGAUGUUCGGGAUGAAAAAGAAAAGAGUGAAGAUGAUGACUGUGAAAAUUCCUGCUCAUUGAUGCUACCAGCUGGGACUGGUGGAUGGAGAGUUAAUCAAAACAACUACGUAAAUCUACAGGUUCUCAUCCUUCCUCUGCAAAAGGUUGUCUAUGCACCAGAACAAGCCAUCUCUCUAGUCUUUAUUUAGUGUUUUGUGUGACAAAAACUUACAUGCAAUGCUGCCCACCAGGAAGUAAGUUUCAGAGAUGUGCCAACUCCAGGUGAAAGCUUCAAACGGCAUCUCAUGUAAUAUUGUGUCUGCAAUUGGAGGGUUCUCGGUCUCACCGACUUCAAGAAUGAAGACGCGGACCCUCGCGGUGAGCGUUACAGUUCUUAAAGGCAGCGCGUCCGGAGUUUGUUCCUUCUGAUGUUCGCAUGUGUUCGGAGUUUCUUCCUUCUGGUGGGUUCGUGGUCUCGCUGGCUUAGGAGUGAAGCUGCAGACCUUCGCAGUGAGUGUUACAGCUCUUAAGGCAGCGCGUCUGGAGUUGUUCCUUCCUCCCCGUGGGUUCAUGGUCUUGCUGGCUUCAGGAGUGAAGCUGCAGACCUUUGCAGUGAGUGUUACAGCUCAUAAAGGCAGUGUGGACCUAAAGAGUGAGCAGCAGCAAGAUUUAUUGCAAAGAGCGAAAGAACAAAGCUUCCACAGUGUGGAAGGGGACCCGAACGGGUUGCCACUGGUGGCUCGGGAAGCCUGCUUUUCUCUUAUCUGGCCCCACCUACAUCCUGCUGAUUGGUCCAUUUUACAGAGAGCCCAGCGGUCUGUUUUGACAGGGGGCUGAUUGGUGCAUUUACAAUCCCUGAGCUAGACAAAAAGGUUCUCCACGUCCCCACUGGAGUAGCUAGAUACAGAGUGUGGAUUGGUGCAUUCACAAACCCUGAGCUAGACACAGGGUGCCGAUUGGUGUGUUUACAAACCUUGAGCUAGAUACAGAGUGCUGAUUGGUGUAUUUACAAUCCCCUAGCUUGACAUAAAGGUUCUCCAAGUCCCCCACCAGAGUCAGGAGCCCAACUGGCUUCACCCAGUAGAGCCCCCACCGGGGCCGCAGGUGGAGCCGCCUGCCAGUCCCACGCCGUGCGCCCGCACUCCUCAGCCCUUGCGUGGUUGAUGGGACUGGGCGCCGUGGAGCAGAGGGCAGCACUCGUUGGGGAGGCUCAGGCAGCACAGGAGCCCACGGAGUGGGGGAGGCUCAGGCAGCACAGGAGCCCACGGAGUGGGGGAGGCUCAGGCAUGGCAGGCUGAAGGUCCCAAGCCCUGCCCCACGGGGAGGGAGCUAAGGCCUGGCAAGAAAUCGAGUGCAGCGCCAGUGGGCCGGCACUGCUGGGGGACCCAGUACACCGUCCGCAGCCGCUGGCCCGGGUGCUAAGCCCCUCAUUGCCUGGGGCCGGCAGGGCCGCCCGGCUGCUCCGAGUGCGGGGCCCGCCAAGCCCACGCCCACCCGGAACUCCAGCUGGCCAGCAACUGUCGCGCACAGCCCCAGUUCCCGCUCGCGCCUCUCCCUCCACACCUCCCUGCAAGCUGAGGGAGCCAGCUCUGGCCUCCGCCAGCCCAGAAAGGGGCUCCCACAGUGCAGUGGUGGGCUGAAGGGCUCCUCAAGUGCCACCAAAGUGGGAGCCCAGGCAGACGAGGCGCCGAGAGCGAGCGAGGGCUGCGAGGGCUGCCAGCACGCUGUCACCUCUCAGUAUGAUAAUAAAAGAUGUUACUGAAUUAAUGGUUUAUCUUAAACAUUGAUUUGUAUACUUAAGAAUUAGUG